GGGGAGUUAGCUCAGUUGGUUAGAGCGCCGGCCUGUCACGUCGGAGGUCGCGGGUUCAAGUCCCGUACUUCCCG
rnacentral:tRNA from 1 species